rnacentral:sRNA from 1 species
UUACGCAGCGGACCGCGCGAUGGCAGU